rnacentral:lncRNA from 1 species
GCACUACUAGGCUCGCGCGCGCAUGACCUCACCUGCCGCCGCCGCCGCUCGCCCGCCGCCGCUUGCCCGCCGCCGCUCGCCUGCCGCUCGCCUGCCGCCGCCGCCGCCGCCGCGGCUGCUCGCCUGCCGCCGUGCCGCUCCCCUCGCUCGGCACACCAGGCCACCUUCUCCCCUCUUCUCUCCUCUCAUCUCCAGGCCACCCACCGCCUCCCUCUUCCUCUCCCUAUCCUCGGUGAGCUACAGAUCCGGUUCGGGGGUCAUCGGAAUCGAUGGUCUCGGCCAUUGGUCUCCUCGCCGGUGAAUCGUUUUGAUACCCUUCUGCAUACAUUUAGCACAAAAUCCACAUGGUUCUGUGGAGAAAUUGAUGGGCUAGGAUGAGGUGUAAGUCGCAGAUUACAGAGAGGACGACUUUCAUUCUGCGCAUCUACCGUCAUACUGAGCAAGUUAUCGAGCUUUCUCCUCUCUUAAUCAGGGCUGCGAUAUUUAGAUUAUGGUCUCCAGUUAUGCCAGUUUGCUUCUGGUUAUGUCCACAACAUAUUCAAUGUUGCAAAAUAAAUAUAAUGUAGCCAUGCUUCAGGUUACAGCUUCCAAUCCACAUCUUUUAAUAUUAUGUAAUGUGGCAUAUGCUUAUGAAAGUAAUCCAUAAUACUACUAUCUUCUGUUAGGCUUUCACAUUUAACUAUUUUAUUUUGUCGACAUCGUUUAACUUGGUGUUUUUUCCCCUUUUCCUAAGUGGUUGGUUGAUACUAUUACAAUAGUAUAGAUACACAUAAUGGAGCCAUGUUUCAGGUUAGAACUUCCAAUCUGCAUCUUUUAUUGUUAUGUUCACCUUCAAAUUUUCAUGAUGUUCAAAUGUGCUUAGAAAAUCAAGAACCAAAGAUGGAAGACAUUAUUAAGCUAGAAACAAAUUACAGCCUUGCAGAGUUAAAAGACUUGAAAGUGGUUGACCAUGUCUCAAGACCCAACACUUUCAUCUUAGAAAUGUUAAUUGAAAGCUUUCUCAAUGACAUUAUUUUCCAUAUAUCAAUUACUCCAACUAAUCUGCUACUAGCUACUGUAUAUGCAUAGUGAAUAGUUAGUAUUGCUUAAACAAUGUCUGGGACCGUUAUAUUCGUUGUAAGCAUAUAUUUCAAUUGUUUUCCUAUAUGGUCAGUCAAAACCAGAUAAUCAAAAAAGAGAUAAAAAACUACUCUCUAUUGGUUAUUUGAUUUUCAGGCUUUCAAGAGAUUAGACUACUAGGCCUGCAUAAUUUGAAAUUCUAUUUAAUAAACUAUAUAUGUAUUUAAAUGUUCAGAAAUUUAGUUCCAGUUUAAAAUUUCAGGUGUAUGCAAUGUUGAAAACCACCAAAUCUGGGCAUUUCCUUCCAAACAACUUCUUUGAGAUGAAAUAGAUUCUGGGCAGUUGUUUCUUCCACCGUCCUUCAUUAUCUUUGUACUCUCGCAUCUAAAUUAUCCUAUGUCAAAUGUGCAUAUGAUUUAGUUCACAGCUAAAUGCAUCUAAAGGGCCAACACCAGAUCUUCUGCAGGUAACUGUGGCCUAACAUCUAAAGCCAUUAGUAGUACCCAUGUUCUUUUUUAGUUCAUAAGUCCUGGUACUGAUGUGGUGAUGCUAAGAAAGGUUUAUGUGUGAUACAAUUAAUAAGAUGUUAACCACAAAAAGAAUACAAAAGCUGUGCACUGUGCAUUAAUUGGUAUUCCGUAAUUUGUUGUUUGCAGACGCAGCAAAAAUAUAUUAGAGUACAAAGGGUAAUUUGUCUUUGCCAAAAGAAUGGAGUUGAUUUUCCUAUCUUCUUAAUAGGAAAGAAUUCAAGUACAUAGUCUCUUCUAGGUAAUUUCUUCCAGAGUUUCAGUGCUGUCUGGGAUUACAAGCAGUCAAUGCCUCUUCUUAAGUAUUUUCCUUCAGUGUCGUCUGGGAUUACAAGCAGUAGAUGCCCGAUGCCACAAGUGUUAGCUUAUAUGUAAGUGAGAAACCUACAAAUACUUAAAAUUAGAUGCUACUGCCGAACCUACAAAUCUGUUCUCAAUUCUGAUGGGUUUGAUGCUUGCCUAAAAGUGCAGAAAAAACAAGGUUGGUAUGCCGCAUGUCUUCACUUUCUACCACAGAGUUAUUGCGCGUUUGUAAACAUGGUGAAAGAGAUGUAUCUCUGAAGCAUAAUCAAUUCAUUAGCAAUUUCAAUGUUAGGUUGUUUUUCUUUAGCCAGCAGCGCAAGAGAAAAUAGCAUAACAAUUUCAAUGUUAUGCAUUUGUGUAUUCGACAGAAGGUCCAGUUAUGUGCUCCAUUGGAGAUAUUCUUAUUCUCUUCUCAAAUUGUCGAUUGGAGUAUUUGGUCGUUCAUGUGUAUGGCUUAAAAUAUUCAACAAUAUUGUAUCGAAGUGGUUAUCUUCUCAUGUUAGACAUAAGAAUUCCUUCUAGCAUGUAACUGUUAUUUAAAAUUAUCGAUAGCUUUGAAUUUUUGUCUAUAAAUGUUGCAUCUUGCAGCCUCAUUUGGUACAGUUACACGCUGCGUAGCGCAUGCCUCUUGCUAGUUGUAUACAAAGUUGCUGUCGGACUCCCG